rnacentral:rRNA from 1 species
GCGGAGGAAAAGAAACUAACAAGGAUUCCCUUAGUAACUGCGAGUGAAGAGGGAAAAGCUCAAAUUUAAAAUCUGGCAGUGUUUUGCUGUCCGAGUUGUAACCUAGAGAAGUGUAACCUGUGCUGGACCGUGUAUAAGUCUCCUGGAAUGGAGCAUCAUAGAGGGUGAGAAUCCCGUCUUUGACAUGGACUACCAGUGCAUUGUGGUUGCGCACUCAACGAGUCGAGUUGUUUGGGAAUGCAGCUCUAAAUGGGUGGUAAAUUCCAUCUAAAGCUAAAUAUUGGCGAGAGACCGAUAGCGAACAAGUACCGUGAGGGAAAGAUGAAAAGAACUUUGGAAAGAGAGUUAAACAGUAUGUGAAAUUGUUGAAAGGGAAACGUUUGAAGUCAGUCGCGUUGGUUGGGGAUCAGCCUGACAUUGUUGGGUGUACUUCCUGGUUGACGGGCCAACAUCAGUUUUGACUGCCAGAAAAAGGCCAAAGGAAUGUGGCACCUUUGGGUGUGUUAUAGCCAUUGGUCGUAUAUGGUGGUUGGGACUGAGGAAAGCAGCGUGCCGAAAGGCCGGGUUUCGACCACGUUCACGCUGAGGAUGUUGGCAUAAUGGCUUUAAGCGACCCGUCUUGAAACACGGACCAAGGAGUCUAACAUGCGUGCGAGUGUUUGGGUGGAAAACCCUUACGCGUAAUGAAAGUGAAAGUUGAGAUCCCUGUCGCGGGGAGCAUCGACGCCCGGACCAGAACUUUUGGGACGGAUCUGCGGUAGAGCAUGUAUGUUGGGACCCGAAAGAUGGUGAACUAUGCCUGAAUAGGGUGAAGCCAGAGGAAACUCUGGUGGAGGCUCGUAGCGAUUCUGACGUGCAAAUCGAUCGUCAAAUUUGGGUAUAGGGGCGAAAGACUAAUC